UACAGAGGUCUCAAGCGUUGUUCGGAUUCAUUGGGCGUAAAGGGUGCGUAGGUGGCGCCGUAAGUCAGGUGUGAAAUUUCGGAGCUUAACUCCGAAACUGCAUUUGAUACUGCGGUGCUUGAGGACUGGAGAGGAGACUGGAAUUUACGGUGUAGCAGUGAAAUGCGUAGAUAUCGUGAGGAACACCAGAGGCGAAGGCGGUUACCUGGACAGUUACUGACGCUCAGGCACGAAAGCAUGGGGAGCAAAAGGG
rnacentral:rRNA from 1 species